UACGAAGGGGGCUAGCGUUGCUCGGAAUCACUGGGCGUAAAGGGUGCGUAGGCGGGUCUUUAAGUCAGGGGUGAAAUCCUGGAGCUCAACUCCAGAACUGCCUUUGAUACUGAGGAUCUUGAGUUCGGGAGAGGUGAGUGGGAACUGCGAGUGUAGAGGUGAAAUUCGUAGAGUAUUCGCAAGAACACCAGUGGCGAAGGCGGCUCACUGGCCCGUAUACUGACGCUGAGGCACGAAAGCGCUGGGGA
rnacentral:rRNA from 1 species